rnacentral:rRNA from 1 species
CGAACGGGUGAGUAAUACAUCGGAACGUGUCCGCUCGUGGGGGACAACCAGCCGAAAGGUUGGCUAAUACCGCAUGAGUUCUACGGAAGAAAGAGGGGGACCCGCAAGGGCCUCUCGCGAGCGGAGCGGCCGAUGACUGAUUAGCCGGUUGGUGAGGUAACGGCUCACCAAAAGCAACGAUCAGUAGCUGGUCUGAGAGGACGACCAGCCACACUGGGACUGAGACACGGCCCAGACUCCUACGGAAGGCAGCAG